AGAGGCCUGUGUGACUCGGGAAGGCAGGCGCUUUUCCACAGGCUGGGUCACGCAGGGACCUGUAGGCUCUGGCCAGGAUUGGGGACUUUAUUCUGUAUAAGAAGAGAAGCCCCUGAAAGGCACUGAGCAGAAUUUUGAGUUAGAUCUCACACUGAUCACGGUGGCGAUGGAGCGCAGAGGAACCAGCAGGGAAGCUGAAGUUGCACCUGUCGAACUUGAGUUUGGGUUGGUAUGGAUUAGAGUGCUUGCCGUGAGGAUGAUGAGGCAUGGUCACAUUCUGGGUGUUUAGAAGGACGGAUUAAAAGGAACUGCUGGUGAGAAGGGCCCUGUGAGAGACACAGAGGGACAGUAGGAAGAAUGCAGGUGCCCCUCGUUGGCAUGAAUGACCAGGUUUGGGUUAAUCACGAGUCAAGUUCUGGACCUGUUAAAUUUGAAGUACCUCUUGGCCAUCCAAGUGGCAAUGUCAGGAAGGCAGCUGAAUUGGGAGGCUCCUCUGGGAAGCAGUCAAGCCUGGGAAUAAAAAUAUGGGAGUCUGUCAGUGUGUAGGUGAUAUUGGAAGUCAUGGGUGGAUGAGAUCCGUUUACCUGCACUAGGUACCCAGAAGGCAUUCCAGUGAUGGUGAUGAUCACCGGGUUCUGGUGAGUGUGGGUAUUACUGGAAGACAAUAAGCUGUAAUGAUCUCUGAUUCCGUAUAGCACACUCACUCAUUGUAUUCUGUCUGCUCUAAUUUUGAAUACGUUUUAAUGUCCAUCAAUUGCAGCAAAGGAAAGAAAAUACAUUAUCGGUUGAACGCUUUGGCUUUUCUCUGUCUAUGCCAACUCCAGUGCACACCAGAGGGACCCUAAUUCCACUGGGGGCCUGGAUGAGCUUGUCCCCUUGAACUGGCCCAGGCCAGAUAGCGGUGGGUCGUGGGGGACCAGUAAUCUCCGUCUACUCUUCAGGACUGCGGCACAAAGCAGGAUGGAUGAGAUAGGCCAACUCAUUACUUACAGGUGUUCUUUAAGGGAGUGCUUAGGAAGUUUUACUCAAUUUAACUUAAGACAUAAGUAAUGCCAUUCCCAAUUCAGGGCAAUGGCUUAGAACCUGGCUCAAUGUCCUUUUUACUAAGUAAUUAUCCAGAUUUCCUUACUAAAUGUUAUUUUAUGUAUUAUGUGUAAUGGCCUCUUUCUUUCAGCUAUGGUAGGAUGGUAAUAGCAGCUGAUAAUGGAUCACAGACUCAUCUUGAAGUUCUGCCUCUGGCACUUGUGGCCAGCGUGGAGGGAAGUGUCUGCCCAGGGAUCAGGCUGAUCCCCUGGCCCAACUCACUGGUCCUGGAUUGAUUUGCUUCUGAGGGGCCUAAGGGAUCACCGAUAACUUCUUAACCUUUAAAGCACUGCCUGUUUUUGAAGAUUCAGGGAAGCCUAAGGAGCUCAUCGGGUUAAAUGGCUCUUUUGCCUUGCUUCGGAGCCCCCGUUGGAGAGCUGGGACUGGUGGAAGUGUAAAGCCCCGGUGGGGAGGGACGGAGCAGCAUAGACAUUCAGAUUAUGACUGGUCAUCACAGGUGCCUGUUAAGAAUUCAGAACUGCUGCCAUUGAACGUCAAGGUGGCCCUUUUUUUUCCAGCAUCCUGGCCACUGGUGCUCAGGAAGCGUUCAUUGAAUGGGACUCUUGUGUAGGAAUUACAUUACUGGUGAUGUUUAUAUAGUGUACAUGUGGGACAGUAUGGACAUUGCUUCUUAAAGAUGACCUGGUUACUCCAACAGCCUUCCUGUAGCUACCGAGCACCUGCUGUUGGCCGGCUGUGCUCCCAUGGGGUGGUUAUCCAGUGCUCCAUGGGUGCUGGGCACAGAGAUCGAUACCAAAACAUGUGUUAUUCAUCUCCAACUGCCAUGAAAUUUUGUUUUCCAGCGCAUCAAGACUAACACCCAUAUCGAAAACGUGUGUGACUACCUCAGGGGAGGGGGUACAACAUGGGCCCAGGUAUUUAUCAACAUGGUGGCCUGAUUUCCUGCCCUCAGAUGGUCUCCGGUCCAGUUGGGGAGGCAGGGAACACUUGUGUGAAAUGUCGAAUAGUAGAGCAGGGCUCAACAUUAACUUGAAUGCAGAGGCGACCGAGCUUCUAGGUGUCAUGAGGACACGUGCACCUUUUGACUGCCCAUCAGAAUUACCUGGGAAGUUAUCAGAACCAAGGAUGCCUGUGCCUCAGCCCAGACCUACCAGGCACCUCUGAGUUUGAACAUGUCCCCAGUGAUUCUGAUGCACAAUGAGGCUUAAGAAGCCCCGCUGAGGUAGGACUUGGUGUAGAGACGGAGGUGGGAAUGACAAGCUGACCUGAGAAGGACAGUCACUAGCAGUGGCACAAGGUGAGGGCAGUGAGACUCAUUGAUGCAGUGACCACUGUUCCCUGGCCUCGAGGGGGAGUCUUGUUUGGAGAAACAAGAGAAAUUCAGGGAAAAGGGGGAAGCUUUCAGAAGACCUUCAAGUCCUGCAGAGGAGACUGAACUUUACCCUGAAAGUUACAGGGAAAUCCUGUGGUCACUGCCACCACUGAUGUGACCCAGUGUUCAGUAGUGAGUAUUGGAACUUCAUCCACGGCAUGAUAGGCAGAUUUUGAGCCAGUGAGCAAUAGGAAGAAAGUGGGGUUUUAUUUUUACUUUUUAUUUAUUUUACUUUAGAGA